rnacentral:lncRNA from 1 species
AGGAGGCAUCAGGAUGCUGUGGAAAUGGUACUAGUCCUAGAGUCAGAUUUGGGUUUGAAUCCCAGCUCUAAUACGUGAUGCCUGUGUGACAUUGGGAAAACCACCCACUAGUCCUGAUCCUCAGUUUUCUCAUAUAAGAAGUGGGGAAUAAAUAAGGUGAAUUGAGGUCCCUUCUAGCUCAUAAAAUCUCUCUGUCUCACUGUUUCUUUCUCUGUCUCCCUUUGUCUCUUUUUCUGUCUCUCUAUCUCUCUCUGUCUCUGUCUCUUCUCUGUCUCUCUGUCUCUGUCUCUCUGUCUUUGUCUCUGUCUGUCUCUCUCUGUCUCUGUCUCUUCUCUGUUUCUCUGUCGCUGUCUCUCUCUAGCUCUCUCUAGCUCUGUCUCUCUGCCUCUAUCUCUCUGUCUCUCUCUAGCUCUGUCUUUCCAUCUCUCUGUCUCUAUGUCUCUGUCUCUGUCUCUCUCUGUUUCUGUCUGUCUGUCUGUCUGUCUGUCUCAAUGGGCAGUACAUUCUUUGACCAUAAAAUCAGAUCCAAAAGAUAAAAGACUUCAGUAUAUCUUUGAAUUCUCACUUAUAAAAAUAAUUUCAGUUGGUCAUCCAAGAACUUGUCGAUGUCCUUCUUGAUCCUAGUUUUCAAAUAUUUGUUGUCUCUUUAUAUCAGAGACCACAUCUUGGAGGAACUUCUGACUUGAACUCCUGCUUUCCUGCUUGCCAAUUACCUUUCCUCAGAAAGCUAUUUUGCAGCAGCAAUCAUACUUCACUCUCCUUUUUCUAUAGCAGUGAUGGCAAACCUUUUAGAGGGGUGGGUGAUGUGAGAACUGUUCUCAGGCAAAGGGGAGGGGAGCAGUUCAGCCCUGUGUCCCUCUGCCUUUCUGGUAGCAAACUCUGUGCUGGCAUGAUGGCACAUGUGCCCACAGAGAGGGCUCUGAAUGCCCCUCUGGCAUACGAUCCUUAGGUUAGCCACUACAGCUCUACAGCCUUCUUGUCACAAACUUACUGUUUUCUACACAUUUCUGGAACCAGGCACUAUCAUCAAAUGAGAUCUGCCAUCAUUUCUGGAUAGGAUUGAUUGGUCUAUUCCCCUAAUUCUCCCACUCACCAGCCCUAUAAUUUUCUGAACUACCAUGCCCCUCAAUGAUGCCCACUACAUGCUAUGUGUUGUUUCUCCCAUUAUAAUGUAAGCUCUUAGAGUUCAGGGACCAUCUUUGCUUUUGUACCUGUAUUCCCAACUCUUAGUACAAUGCUCCCUCCACUCAUUAUCCCACCUAAGGAGUGGUUUUCAUUCAUUUGUCCAUUCAUUCUCAAAUUUCUGAAUUGUGACUUUGAAAGGGGAGAGUGCUAUGAAGGUUGUUUGUUUGUUUUUUUCCUCCCCAGGUACCGGAGUUCCACUGGCUGGGUAGGGAGACCCUAUCACAUUUAGAAUUCUGUGAACCUGAGAAGUUUAACAUGAAC